rnacentral:ncRNA from 2 species
AAUUAAAUAACAUGUUCAGGUUUCCCCGGUCAUGCCGGGGGUGAAAAGGGAACCGGGUGUAAAUCCCGGACGGUCCGGCCACUGUAAGUGGGGAGUUGCCCCAAAUGCCACUGGGUCUUUGAAAGCCCGGGAAGGCGGGGGAUACGCUAAGAGCCACGAGUCAGGAGACCUGCCUGAACGAAGAUUAAGUA